rnacentral:misc_RNA from 1 species
AACCUUAUGGACCUGCGGGCGUAUACCUGCGGAAGGAUCAUUACAGAGUUGCAAAACUCCCUAAACCAUUGUGAACGUUACCUAAACCGUUGCUUCGGCGGGCGGCCCGGGUCCUUCCCGGCGCCCCUCGGCCCUCGCGGGCGCCCGCCGGAGGUAAACCAAACUAUUGCAUUGUAUGGCCUCUCUGAGUCUUCUGUACUGAAUAAGUCAAAACUUUUAGCAACGGAUCUCAGAUCGGAA